rnacentral:rRNA from 1 species
UACGUGGGGUGCAAGCGUUGUUCGGAAUUACUGGGCGUAAAGCGCGUGUAGGCUGCUUUUUAUGUCAGGUGUGAAAGCCCUCGGCCUAACCGAGGAAGUGCGCCUGAAACUGAAAAGCUUGAGUACGAGAGAGGGGGACGGAAUUCCCAGUGUAGAGGUGAAAUUCGUAGAUAUUGGGAGGAACACCGGCGGCGAAAGCGGUUCCCUGGAUCGAUACUGACGCUAAGACGCGAAAGCGUGGGGAUCAAACAGG